CAGGAUUUGAUUGUCACUGGUAUAUUGAUGUGGUCUGUUUACCACAAUACAGUGGAACCUUUUAUAACGUACUCUCUGAGUAGCGGACCCCUCUAUUAUAGCGGAGCAUGCAUUCCUGUAUACCAACUGAUGUACUUGCAGCCACGAUUACCGCACAUUAUUAUUUCUAUAUUAUGGACCAAUUAACCCCCCCCCAAUAAAGACCAUGCAUGACACAUCCAAAUAACAGACAAAACCCAGUCCUGCACCAACUUAUCUGUUAUUCAGAGGUUCCACUGUACACACUUUAUGCAACUACACUGCAAACAAUUUUGUUUGAAACUACAUUGCAUAGUCGUUUUAACACUAUUCUUAAACAGUUGAAUCAACUUAAUAUUUAGUAAAAUAAAAAGACAACGUUAAAAUAAUCAGUAUAUGUGGUUUUAACUUAAAAUAUUGUAGAAUCACACAAUGUCUUUUAUUUCUACAAUAAUUUACAUAGAAUCUAUUAUUGAUAUCUUAAAUCAAACUAACAAACUCAUUUUGAUUAAAUUAUAUUUGAAACUCUAUCAUGCAGCAUGUUAGAAUACAAUAUAUAAAUUUAGAUUUAACAAUAAUAAUAUUUGUUCUAACACAGGCACACAUAUAAUUAUAUACAAUCAAUAUUUUUAACAAUCCAUUUAUAAUAGCAUGAGUGAUGUGAAAUUAUAUACAGUCAUGAACAUUGUAAGGAAAUGUACAAGUUUGCAUAGAACCAUAGAUAUUAGAGGACCUAGAAACUAAAAUGAAAUUGUGGGCGUGGCUAUGCUAAGUCUAAGAUUGCGCAUGCUCAGUAGAUCUAGAGCUGUGAAACCAUGUGCUCCAAGAAAAGAGAAGACGAUUAUCCUUUCUAUAUUAUGCUGGACAUUUGCUGCUAUAAAUCUGACUGUGAUGAUACUUCUGUGAGAGGUAUGACUGACUACACCAAGUGGAUGAUGAUACUUUUAGUUCUGUGAGAGGUAUGACUGUGACUACACCAAGUGGAUGAUGAUACUUCUGUGAGAGAAAUUCCUUAAACUGGCAAGCUUGACAUGCGAGAACAAACGAAACAAACAGACGAAUGGAUAGAAGUGGCGUCAUUGUUGGAUAUCCUCUCGGUGAUUGAUAAUACACGGUAAUAAUUAAUAUCAAUAACAAUGAUGUAUUUACUAUUAUAGGUGGACUCUGCGUGGUCAAGAGUGAUCGGUCUGCUAUACUUGUGAGUCCAGUAUGUUACACCAAGAAGAACUAUUCCUUGGGCUAAUUAAUUUAAAACUGUCCUUCUAAUUUAACAUUGUAUACCAUUGUCUCACUCAGUUGUCACGAACGUUUCCUAUCACUAUUUUUGUAUUAACAUGUUAUUUAUUGAAUUGAAUAAUAAUUGUUAUACCGA